rnacentral:rRNA from 1 species
GGGCAGUCUGGUGCCAGCAGCCGCGGUAAUUCCAGCUCCAAUAGCGUAUAUUAAAGUUGUUGCAGUUAAAAAGCUCGUAGUUGAAUUUCGGGAUCAAAUUGUCGGUCGUGCCUCGGUACGUACUGGUAUUAUUGGUUCCUCCCUUCUGACGAACCACGAUGUCAUUAAUUUGGUGUCAUGGGAAAUCAGGACUGUUACUUUGAAAAAAUUAGAGUGUUUAAAGCAGGCUCGCGCUUGAAUACAUUAGCAUGGAAUAAUGAAAUAGGACGUUUGAUUCUAUUUUGUUGGUUUCUAGGAUCGACGUAAUGAUUAAUAGGGAUAGUUGGGGGCAUUAGUAUUCAAUUGUCAGAGGUGAAAUUCUUGGAUUUAUUGAAGACUAACUACUGCGAAAGCAUUUGCCAAGGAUGUUUUCAUUAAUCAAGAACGAAAGUUAGGGGAUCGAAGACGAUCAGAUACCGUCGUAGUCUUAACC